GAUGAACGCUAGCGGGAGGCUUAACACAUGCAAGUCGAGGGGCAGCAUAGGGUAGCAAUACUCUGAUGGCGACCGGCAAACGGGUGAGUAACGCGUAUGCAACCUACCCUGUACAGGGGGAUAACCCGGAGAAAUUCGGACUAAUAUCCCGUAAUAAUAUCCGGAGGCAUCUUUGGAUAUUUAAAGUUCCGACGGUACGGGAUGGGCAUGCGUAACAUUAGCUGGUUGGUAAGGUAACGGCUUACCAAGGCUAUGAUGUUUAGGGGUCCUGAGAGGGUGGUCCCCCACACUGGUACUGAGACACGGACCAGACUCCUACGGGAGGCAGCAGUGAGGAAUAUUGGUCAAUGGGCGCAAGCCUGAACCAGCCAUGCCGCGUGCAGGAUGACGGCCCUACGGGUUGUAAACUGCUUUUCCCCGGGGCGAAUAACCCCCUCGCGAGGGGGAGUGGCCGGUACCGGGGAAGUAAGGAUCGGCUAACUCCGUG
rnacentral:rRNA from 1 species